rnacentral:rRNA from 1 species
CGGGCCCCGCGCCUGCUGAAGCCUUUCCGCAGCGACUCUAAACAAUUGCUCAGUCGGUAGCACCGUCUACCGGUAACACUGUUACUGCGCUGGAAGCCUUCCGGGGCUACCAGCGACCCGGAUUUACAAGAUUCGGGCCCACAGCUCAAACGACAGUGGCCGUCUCCGGGCGGUUCAGAUAUGACCGACUCUCUAGAGGUUCCUUUAGAGAAACCUUGGUUCCGUAGGUGAACCUGCGGAAGGAUCAUUA